AUACCAUCUCCUCCCCUCCAUCGACUUCUUUUCGAUCAUCGAAACGAGAGAGAGAGAGAGAGAGAAAGAGUCGUCGAUUUAAUAAAUCGUCUCUCGCGCGCUUAGGGUUUCCGUCGAUCCUCGAGAUCUCAGCCAGUUCCGAUCUGAUUUCCAUCGGAUUCGGUAGGGUUUCGGUCCUAUUCCGGCGAACUGAGACGGCGGCGGGCGUCAGUUUGGGGGGUUCUCUCCAAUUCUCCGGCGUUGGAGGGAUGGAAAUGGCGUCCACUGCUAAGGAUAAGCUGGUGUACUUCAGAAUAAAAGAGCUUAAAGAUGUUCUGACACAACUUGGUCUCCCGAAGCAAGGCAAGAAACAGGAACUAGUGGAUAAAAUUUUAUCGUUGCUCUCUGAUGAACAAGCAGGUUCAAGGUCACACUCUUGG